ACACACACACACACACACACACACACACACACACACACCCGUGUGCUGUGCACAGUACACAGGGAUGAUGGGUGUGUGGUGUGUGUGUGGUGUGGUGUGUGGGUGGGUGUGUGUGUGUGGUGUGGUGUGCUCGCUCACUGUUGGGGUUGGGCAGUGUUGCUGGAGUGAAAUGUGGCGAGGUCCCGGUUCCUGGGGCUUGGGGGUAUGGGCAAAUGUGAGAAUGUGGGCUCUGGGCAUAGGUAUGCCGUCAGCGGAGCCUUCUGUGUGCACAUGAAGUGGGCAGUCAGUCUGUAGAAAACAUGACUUCCCAAGGGUUGCCUUGAGACAGGUUAGGGUGGGUCCCAGGCCUAGUUCUCCCUGACUCACUUAUGUUACCAGAAGAUCACAUUUACCUAAUGACGUCCAGUGGGGCUCCAGGGGCCUCAUCAGUGAGUGGUGGACAGUCCGUCAGUCCUUCCACUCAGAACUGCCAGCUACAUGGCAGGCCGCUGGACCCUGCACCCCGCCUGCCUCUCCCCAGGCUAUCCAGGCUAUCCAGGCUAUCCAGGCUUUAGUUAACAAAGGUUUCUGUUGAGGACAUUCUUAGCUGCAGGUUUUCUAGGCUCCAGAGAGGCAGCGCAGGGGCAAGGGCUGCAGGCCACACUCAGGAUGUACCUCCUGCCCUGGACUAAUUACUCACAGGUCCACACAGCCAGCCGCUACUCCUGUCUGCUCAGCUGGUGUCCAGUAGGCAGAACAGGGCAGGCAGGCACGGGGUGGGUAUACCUGGAGAGGGCCAGCAUUUAUGGAGUGCUUGCUGAGUACCGUGUGACUCUUCACGGUUGUCUCAUUGUGUAGGGAGGAAACAGGGCAAGCAGCAACUUGUCAGGGUCACACAGUUGUGAGCACCUUGGGGUUCAGGUGUCUUACCAGGGCUGUGAGGCACAGGGGCAUGUCUGCCAUUGGGGUUUUGUGCCUACACGGCUGCCCUGCUCCUCUCAGCACACUAGGGGCUGAAAGAGAGUGGGACUAAGUCACUUCCUCAAGCAAGGAACACACUAGCAGGGUACCUCUGGGGUCUCCUCCCUGCCUACCCACAGGUGCCUACUGCCUCUCUGUAUCCGACUUCGACAAUGCCAAGGGCCUAAAUGUGAAACACUACAAGAUCCGCAAGCUGGACAGCGGCGGUUUCUACAUCACCUCCCGCACCCAGUUCAACAGCCUGCAGCAGCUCGUGGCUUACUACUCCAGUGAGUGUCCCCGGCCGGCCGUGUGGGGACUCGCCCAGGGGAGCAGGGUGUCUGCCGUGCCUCCUCACCCCUGGGAUGCCUCUUCCCUCCCUGCCUCUCCUCCAUCUCCUCCCUUCUCCCCUUGCUCCCUGCCCAGCCCCCCUCUUCUCCUUCCGCUGCAGCUGGCCAGUGAGGAGGGGGCCUGCCUUGAGCACGCUAGAAGGGAGGGGCUAGAGGCUGGUGUUGAUUGUUUCUGCAGCCCUAAGACUGGUCUGAACCGGUUCCUGGGAGAGAAGGAGGGGGAGGCUUCUUU
rnacentral:lncRNA from 1 species